rnacentral:rRNA from 1 species
AGGAAGAAGCUUGCUUCUUUGCUGACGAGUGGCGGACGGGUGAGUAAUGCCUGGGAAACUGCCUUGUACAGGGGGAUAACAGUUGGAAACGGCUGCUAAUACCGCAUAAGCGCACAGUACCGCAUGGUACGGUGUGAAAAACUCCGGUGGUGUGAGAUGGACCCGCGUCUGAUUAGCUAGUUGGCAGGGCAACGGCCUACCAAGGCGACGAUCAGUAGCCGACCUGAGAGGGUGACCGGCCACAUUGGGACUGAGACACGGCCCAAACUCC